CAGCCGCCGCGGUAAUACCGGCGGCCCGAGUGGCGGUCACUAUUAUUGGGCUUAAAGCGUCCGUAGCCGGGUUGGGAAGUCCUCCGGGAAAUCUGGCCGCUUAACGGUCAGAAUGCCGGAGGAUACUCCCAGCCUAGGGAGCGGGAGAGGCCGAGGGGAUUCCCGGAGGAGGGGUGAAAUCCUAUAAUCCCGGGAGGACCACCUGUGGCGAAGGCGCUCGGCUGGAACGCGGCCGACGGUGAGGGACGAAGGCCAGGGGGGCAAACCGGAUUAGAUACCCGGGUAGUCCUGGCUGUAAACGAUGCGGACUUUGUGUCGGACAAGCUAUGAGCUUGUCCGGUGCCGGAGGGAAACCGUUAAGUCCGCCGCCUGGGGAGUACGGCCGCAAGGCUGAAACUUAAAGGAAUUGGCGGG
rnacentral:rRNA from 1 species